UUCGCGGUCGGAUCCACCUCCCGGGUCACCACGAGGUACUCCCGCAGCGCGAUGGCGUGCAGGUGCUC
rnacentral:sRNA from 1 species